GCUCUUUUCGCUAUUCGAUUUUCCUUCUUUUCGGAAAUUACGUAUGCAAAAAGCGAAGUAAAAAUAUUGUUUUUGCCUUAGCGAAGGGUUUAAAUUGGUUUAAAUAAUACUGAAAUCCAAAAUUAAAGUGUAUUUGGUUUCGUGAAAUUCAAUGUCGCGUGUGUUAUAAAUUUUACAAUGUCUGAUUUAUUCACAGUUUUAUUGUGUGCGACUAAAUGGAGCAUCAGUAGCAAUUUAUGACGCCCGCGCUCUUGCUUUUCCAAUACUCUUUGGUUAUCUGCGAGCAUAGAAGCUAUCCAGACGGAGCAGAAAGCACAAACGCAAAACAAUAAUUGUAAGAAAUCAAUUGAAAGCAGCAGGGUGAAUGCAAUCGUCAUUCUUUCGGUUUAAACGCUAUUAUAAUACAUACAAACAUACAGAAAGAUAUAUACACAGAAGUAAUAGGAGUAAAGCGUGUUAAACGAAUAAAAAAAGUUCAUAUUGCUAUAGCCGUCCCAACAUUUGAUAGUGUUAACUAAUUCAGUAUUAUUAUGCACUCGCUACGUUGAGCAUGUGUUUGUUUUGUAUUCGUUAUCAGGGUUAUCGUAUUUUUAGUUGUGAACGCUUCACGAUAAGACAUUUGGGCCCAUAACUACUCAAAAAAUACACCACGAUAUCCCGCUGCUCUAAAAGCAGUAUUGAAAAAACCAAAAUGGACGAAGUAUUUUCACUACAUUUAGCAAAACUGGAUAUUUUUGAUGUCUUCUUUCUGGCAGGCAUUCUUUCUUUAGUUAUACUAUUUUCAAUUUAAAAUGGAUGCAAUUAAAACCAGACACCGAAAGGACUUUAUUGGAUAAAAUUUGCCACAAAUUCGUCAUCAAUAGAAAAUACGCAGCAAAACAAAAUUAUUGUGAAAUCCAAAAUGCAAACGUCAAUAUGAGCAAGAAAAGCAAAAAGCUGGAAAAUGUCAGAAGUGCAAAAGCAAAAUAAAAUGUCAGAUGGAAAAAUACAGUAUUGCAUGCCUGUAGGAAAAAUUGUUUAUCAAUUGUCAAAGACUACAAAAUAGCGGAUUUUUUGUUUCAAUAUAAAAAUUAUUACAUUACGGUUAUUUACCUAUUUACGCCUUGUAUUUUAUAGAAAAAUAUCUGUUGUAAAUUAUAAUAUUAAUUUGGAAAAUUAUUAGUUUUUGUGAUAACUUGAAAUAUGCAUAACUUGAAUAUAAUUUACGGCAGCUUAAUUAAAAGUAUCGUUUUGUUUGUAAAAAGACUGAAUUGUAUUAGAAUCAAAACCUAAGAAUUGAGAGAUCUUAAUUUACCAUGCUUGAUAAAAAAAAAAGAUAGGGUUAAUAGAGAACGGCUGGAGUGGACCAAUAAAAUCCUUAUGGCACAGUAUGUGAAUUAA